rnacentral:ncRNA from 2 species
UGACGUCUUCAGGGCGGGGUGUGAUUCCCCACCGGCGGUAGGCGUCCAGCCCGUCUCGACGGGUCGGAUGCGAGCCCGCGAGCGCUUUCCGAUGAGGGAAAGGUCAGCAGAUCCGGUCAGAUGCCGGAGCCGACGGUAGGAAACCGAUAGGUUUCCUGAAAGUCCGGAUGAAAGAAGACGGCU